rnacentral:rRNA from 1 species
GCAUCGAUAAAAAAAGCAGCGAAAUGCGAUAAGUAAUGUGAAUUGCAGAAUUCAGUGAAUCAUCGAAUCUUUGAACGCACAUUGCGCCCAUUAGUAUUCUAGUGGGCAUGCCUGUUCGAGCGUCAUU